rnacentral:rRNA from 1 species
UAAGGAAUAUUGGGCAAUGGACGCAAGUCUGACCCAGCCAUGCCGCGUGAAGGAUGAAUGUCCUAUGGAUUGUAAACUUCUUUUAUGCAGGAAAAAUAUCCCGGUCGUGAACCGGGACUGAUGGUACUGUAUGAAUAAGCAUCGGCUAACUCCGUGCCAGCAGCCGCGGUAAUACGGAGGAUGCAAGCGUUAUCCGGAUUCAUUGGGUUUAAAGGGUGCGCAGGCGGAAUGAUAAGUCAGUGGUGAAAUCUCCCGGCUCAACCGGGAAACUGCCAUUGAUACUGUCGUUCUUGAGUACAGUUGAAGUGGGCGGAAUGUGUCAUGUAGCGGUGAAAUGCUUAGAUAUGACACAGAACACCGAUAGUGAAGACAGCUCACUAAGCUGUAACUGACGCUCAUGCACGAAAGCGUGGGGAUCAAACA